ensembl:lncRNA
CCCACCUCCACCUACGUAUACAACCAACCAUCAACCAUAGGAUGUUUAAGCCCAUCUCUCCAGAGGUCACCUUGGCUUGUUUACUUGACUGGAGUGGACGCUCAGUGAACAUCUCACCUACCAACGUGUGUUCAGCUCUCAACUCAUUUCCUACUGGAUCCUCAGUCAGUGUGGGUUUUUGGACCAGUUGCACCUCACGGGCCGAGCCACCAAUCCUGAACGCGCCUGUACGCACCAAGUACUCACCCAGCAACUACCAGACACGUGAAGAAACAGGCCGCCUCCUAUUGGCUCCGCCUGACACAGCCAUGGACGGGAUGGGAUCCUGGAAGCGGGGGCCGGAUGAUUGGGAGGUUUGGCUGAGGUGACAAAGAGCUGAUCGAUCCCCGGCUGCAGGAGGCCGAGCCGGGGGAACAGGCUCCAAAAGCCUGACUGUCACGCACACUGCAUACACAGGCCUGUGCGAUCAGGGCCAGGACGAAAAGGGGAGGUGUGCCGCUUCGCCAAACGGAACCAACCGGCUUUAUUUGCUAUUUUCUACUCAUCCACGGGUAAAUUAUUAUCCCCCGACGUGCGAACUGAUACUACAGCAGUGAUGCAUCAAGUGCGUUAUCGUUGAGGCUACUAGCCUGGCUCAUGACUGCUUGUAAAAGUCGUUUGAAUGGAGGCGAGACCCAGUUGGAACCAACUGGCCGCUCGCUGGACCCUUGAUUAAAGCCAUAUCCUCAGAAAUGUGUAUCAAUGCUCUCCAAAGACAGUAUGGGGAUUAGGGGAAGAUAUUUGAAUUUGGCCUGAAAUGAAAUUCACAGGCUGCAACUGCCAUUUGCUGGAUAACAGGG